CUGACGGUCUUUACUGAUCAAUAAUCAAGCUCAAGAUUUGAACACUUUAUGAGUUUAGAUAUCUCCUCAAAAAGCUUGAUUAGUAGUGUUAUCAGUUCUUUUCGGGAAAAUGAGCUUCGACGAUGAUAAGGAAAUUGUCAUACUCGAAGAUGUCAUUUCAGCUUCAAGCUUUCUAGCGGGAAAAAUACAGAUUGCAGCCAUCAACCACAUUGAGGCACCACUUAAAGAAACCAGAUUUAAAGUGCUACUAAAGUUGACUGAGUCAGGUUUUAUCAGACCAAGACCUGGACUUGAUCUAGUGAUGGUAAUUGAUCUCAGUGGAAGCAUGCAUGAGGGAGGCAACUUAGACAAAUUGAAAAUCGCCGCACAAUUUGUCAUCGAGAAACUUAGCCCCGUUGAUCGUUUUUCAGUUGUCACAUUCUUUGACAGCUCGAACAGGUUGUUCCCACUGCGCCAAAUAACUGAAGCUUCUAAAGCUGAGAUUAUA